UGGGGAAUAUUGCACAAUGGGCGAAAGUCUGAUGCAGCAACGCCGCGUGAGUGAUGACGGUCUUCGGAUUGUAAAGCUCUGUCUUUGGGGACGAUAAUGACGGUACCCAAGGAGGAAGCCACGGCUAACUACGUGCCAGCAGCCGUGGUAAUACGUAGGUGGCAAGCGUUGUCCGGAUUUACUGGGCGUAAAGGGUGCGUAGGCGGACCUUUAAGUGAGAUGUGAAAUCCCCGAGCUUAACUUGGGGGCUGCAUUUCAAACUGGAGGUCUAGAGUGCAGGAGAGGAGAGUGGAAUUCCUAGUGUAGCGGUGAAAUGCGUAGAGAUUAGGAAGAACACCAGUGGCGAAGGCGACUCCCUGGACUGUAACUGACGCUGAGGCACGAAAGCGUGGGGAGCAAACAG
rnacentral:rRNA from 1 species